GUAGUGUGUACUACCACUACUACUAGUAGUAGUCACAUUACUAUUACUACCACCAAUACUACCAAUAGUAGUUAUAAAGCCUAACUCAUGUAUAUCCAGAUUACCAUCUAUGUUCUUCCUCCAAACCCAUUUUAUGAUUGGGAUUACAGGCAGUUCUUUAGGACUGCUCUCAAAUAAUUGAAAUGUUACUAAACAAGGUUAUACUUAUCAAAUUAAAUAGCUCUGGUCUCCAGUAUAUUGGCGAAUUCAGUUCUUUGUACUUAAUUUAUUAGCAUGAUUUCUUUUUAAUAUGUUGUGUACAGACUUAAUUACUUCUCUGUCUACUUUUCUUACUCCAUGUAGGUUUCCCAGAGACUAUGGGUUGAGGAGGAAUUGGAAGUUUGUCGGCUUAGACCUGGUGUCAUUCCAUCAGUGUUAAACUUCCCGGCUCAUCUUGGAAGAGUACGUGCCAGAAAGACCACGACCAAGCAGCCUUGAGAUCUUAGGCAGCGUCUCCCUGAGGUCCCUCUCUAUCUCCCCACACAUCCACCAACCACUGGAACACAUCUCCAAAGUUCUGCUGGGCCAGCUCAGCUUCCCCUCAGAAGAAGUACCGCCACCUGCCAGAUGAAGGAGCCUUUUGAGAGGCAGCUGGCAUCGUGAUUGGACUGUACUUUGGUCUGUUCCAAUCCAGCUUCAGCUCCAGAGACGGCAGGCGGGACGAGUCAGCGGAGGCCGGGUGGACGAAGGCAUGCAGCUGAGUACAAUCCAGAAAACAACAGAGGAGGAGUGCAGCAGCCCAGGACCAGAACAACCAGAGUAGCAUCGUAUGUCUCUUAGAAAGCAUCAUAGUAUAGCCUCUGGUAUGAAAAAACACCAUCAUAUACAUUGUAUAUUGUACAAAUAACAAGUCAAUGGAAAGAGACCUACAUUGUAGAAUUGUAGUAAUUGUGGGC
ensembl:lncRNA